AACAUGCCCGCGUUAAGGAUUGCAGAGGAAAGCCCACAGCGAGGGACGAGCGAGGACUUGUAACGGAAAGCCUGACCACGC
rnacentral:sRNA from 1 species